AUACGUAGGGGGCAAGCGUUGUCCGGAAUUACUGGGCGUAAAGGGCGCGCAGGCGGUUUGAUAAGUCACUCGUGAAAAGCGUAGGCUCAACCUAUGCACUGCGAGUGAAACUGUCAGACUUGAGUGCAGUAGAGGGAAGCGGAAUUCCUAGUGUAGCGGUGAAAUGCGUAGAUAUUAGGAAGAACACCAGUGGCGAAGGCGGCUUUCUGGGCUGUAACUGACGCUGAGGCGCGAAAGCUGGGGGAGCGAACGGGAUUAGAUACCCCGGUAGUCCCAGCCGUAAACGAUGAUCACUAGGUGUAGGAGGUAUCGACCCCUUCUGUGCCGAAGCAAACGCAUUAAGUGAUCCGCCUGGGGAGUACGUCCGCAAGGAUGAA
rnacentral:rRNA from 1 species